UUUUCGGACAAUGGAUGUAGAGGAAAGUGGCGGACGGGUGAGUAACGCGUGAGGAACCUGCCUUGAAGAGGGGGACAACAGUUGGAAACGACUGCUAAUACCGCAUGACGCAUAGAGGUCGCAUGAUCUUUAUGCCAAAGAUUUAUCGCUUCAAGAUGGCCUCGCGUCUGAUUAGCUGGUUGGCGGGGUAACGGCCCACCAAGGCGACGAUCAGUAGCCGGACUGAGAGGGCGGACGGCCACAUUGGGACUGAGAGACGGUCCAAACUCC
rnacentral:rRNA from 1 species